CGUCAUUAACGUACUUUCCUAAUGUCCGUUGUUUAAUAAUUAAUGUUUAGUUGUGAAAGUAUUAAUUUAAAAUAUUGUAUGCGAACACUAAAAUAGCUCAUCUCUACGCCAAUAAGUUUAGUAAGAAUGUUAGUGAAAAGAAAACGGAACAAAUUAUCAGAAGACUUGAAAUUUCAGAAACUAGUUUCGAUACACAUUCGUGCUUUUUUUUCAGUCCCACGUUGUUUUGUUGUUAAGAUUAGUAAGAUUCUUAAGUUAGAUAACUAGUUGAUGUUUCGACUUGUGCCUUCUUCCCAGACUUUGUUAGUAUUAAAAAAGGCGUUAAACGUUUGAAAUGAAGUGUAGCGAAACCAGGAUAAUCUAACAAUUUUAGUGUUCCCGAUCGUAACGAAAAAAUGUGUCUGAAAACUGGGACAAUUCUGAUUUUUCGAGAAACAUACCCAAGCAGAAAAUCCAGAAAAAAAAGAAGAAAAGAAAGUGAACACUUUAUGAUUUAUGAAGUAUCAGGAUUAUUUCGGAGACGUUCCGAGGCCUUUAAUGCAUAAGCCUGUCUGAUGUCCUUUCAGUUCGCAGUGACUCCAGAAAUUCACCAAAGCAAAGAUUCCUGCAUGAUAUUUUGUUUUUGAAAAUCUCCAUCUGUGGCCUGUAAUCUGGUAUCCUGGUUUCCUCCCAAGCAGUUUCCUGGUGGUCUUCCUGUGACUGUGACGCUCCAACUGAUUUUAAUGUUCACAUCAUAACAUUGUUGUUCAUGCAACUGAUGAUAUGAAUAGCGCCUAAACCACAACCGUGUCUGUCAUAUCUCAUCUGUCCUGAUGAACCCGUUAUUGGACAAAAGACCUCGUCGGUAGUCGAUAUAGCAGAUUUUAGUGUAGUUGACAUAUUAUUUGCUUUGACUCAUUAUAUCUUAAAAAGACAAACGUCUAAGUACAACUGAAAUAAUAUAUGUAUAACAAAGACGUUUAAAAAUAGUUGACAGGUUAUAUUAUGUGCAUAAAAUGUUACAUGUAACUCACAUAUCAUAUAAUUGACGGAU